AGGCACCAAUCUGCUGGCACCUUGAUCUCGGACUUCCCAGCCUCCAGAACUGUGAGCAAUAAAUUUGUUGUUUUUAAGCCGCCCAGUCUGUGAUGUUUUGUUUUAGCAUCCCAGACUAAGUAAGGGUUUAAAAGAGGUGAUUAAGUUAAAAUGAGGUCAUCAGGGUGCACCCCAGUCCGACAUAGCUGAUGUCCUUAUAAGAAGAGGAAAUUAGGACACAGACAUAUGCCAUGUGAAGACGCAGGGAGAAUGUGACAUCUGCAAGCCAAGGAGAGAGGCUGCAGGAGAAACCAGCUCUGCUGACACUUUGAUCUCAAGCUCUGGCCACCAGAACUGUGAGCAAAUAAGUGUCUGUUGUUUAGGGCACCCUGUCCAUGGCACCUUGCUCCGAUAGCCCCAGGAAACGAAUCCACAGAGGAGGAAGCCGAGGUUGGGAAAGGUGGAGGGACUUGCCCAAGUCACACAAACGACAACUCAGCAGAGCUGAGAAUUGGCACCCAGGGCAACUGGAGUCCAUCCUGAGCUUGUCACUGCUGGGCUCUGAGACCUCCUGGUGAAGAAGGACAGUGGCAGAGACAGCCCGACCCAGAGAAACCCAGCAACGCUACUUUCUAAGGGCAUUUUUCCCUCUCAUUUGGAAUCCUGAGCCUCCUGCUCGUCCUGUAGGCCACACCCAGCAAACAGAGCUGGCUGGGAACUGGGAGAAGAGCUGGAGCAACAGCCUGCAUCCAUUUCCUCUUGCUGCAAUAACAACUGAUCACAAGAUGGAGUCUCACUCUGUCAACCAGGCUGGAGUGCACUGGCGCAAUCUCGGCUCACUGCAGUCACCUCCUCUCAGGUUCAAGUGAUUCUCCUGCCUCUGCCUCCUGAGUAGCUGGGAUUACAGAAUGUGAGCAUGGAGUCUGGAGCAGGAGCAGCUGUUGUGCACUGUGAGGUUGAAGCCGUGUGUUGAGAAUAGCAGAGCAACAAAGCAAUAGGAGCUGGAGCCCCUAGGGGCCAUGAAGCCCCUACCAGCCCUGGACUGCUUAGAUUUACUUGAGCAAGAAAUAAACCCUUGAUUGUUUAAA
ensembl:lncRNA novel transcript